GUACACUGGAUGCUCCGAUAGUUUCACUGAUGGCGGUGCGGAUAGAUCUGAUAUCCUGAAUACCAUUUACCAAUGUCGAUGGAAUUAUGUGGCCAGCUAUAUUACUCAACAGAUCCCCUCCUGAGAAAGCCACAGUAUGUUUUAGAAAGUGAAAGGAAGGAGCAAAACAAAUGGAAGUAAUAGUGGUUAGUGGUACCCUCUGGCAGUAAUUCCAGCAAAAUAUCUAGUUGUCUGGGAUAAUUUACGAAUGAUCGGUGCUUUAUCAACAAUGGCCGCAGCCCGACUGAUGAGCUGUGAAUAAUCGUGGCGACGUAGACGAAGCGCACCGAAAUAUCAGAGGUGUCGAGCAUUGUAAUCCCCACAUCAGCCUUCGGUUAUACAUCUAUUGCUGGCUGACCACCCAGAGGCACUUGUCUGCAUCAAAAUUCAUUCCGGGACAAGGGGAUUAUCAUGCCGAUUACAUGGGGUGUGCCCUAACAUGUGCAAGUGCAUGAAGAAUAGACCAAGUCGGAGGAUGCAGGUGCGUUUACAGGGUGUUGCAAAAAGGGCAAGUAGAUGGAGAAAAAAACAGGGGAAGAGUACGUACACUGAGCCGACGAUUUUAUCGAGAAGAAACCUGUUGGAAGAAGUGUUAUUGCGGGGUGCCGUGUAUCUCGCGCGUACGAUCGCUAAUAAAUUCCAUGGGAGUGCGAGAGGGCCCUAGGCCCUCUCGCAUUUCAGUCUUCAUGAGACGUUGCGCGCGCCCCAAACGAUUCUAUGAUUAUCGUCUGCUCAUACAAACGCUCGCAUUCGUUCAUGUUUUUUUUUUCAUUUUCAAAGGAUUCGCGCUUGCCGGGAAUUAAGAUAUUCGGAUUCGAGCCUCAAGUAGUUUUAUUUAACAAUUUUUUUUCAUUUCAUUUCAAUUGAUUAUUCUCCUCGUAAGUAACCGCGUAAAUUUAUUGAAUUGUGAAUUUAUUGAUCGAUUCGAAUUUUUAAAUAAUUUUAUUAUUCCCUCGAAUUAACUUUAUUCAUCGACAAUGUUCACCAGUCGAAGCUGAUUGAUCAUGCCUUUAGCCGGGAAUAUCCUAUCAUUUAUUUCUUUCGUUUCACCUCCAUUCGACGAGAGAAACAAUAUUCCUAAAUUCCUAGGCUUAUUUUCGCUUUUUCGCAACUAAAAAUUAAUUUAAAUUAUUCUUAUGCAAGCAAACACUCUGACACUUAGUAUUAUUCUCAAUUAUUCACGCUUUCCAGUCAUUUAGAAUUAAUUAAUAAUCACCGAAAAAAAAAAUUCCUUCCAUUAUUGAUCCGAGUAUAUUGACAAUUCAUAACAUCAGCCGCCAAUAGAAAUACCCAUGAAAUAGCAUUUUUUGAAAUUGUCAGUCCCAGCAACUUGUCGAGCCAGGCUAAUUGGUCGAGGGAGUGUAUACAUAUACCUUGGGUACAUUCAUAUGAGAUACGACGUAUUUACCGGAGGGAUAAUGAAGGAUUUUUCACGUGGAAAAUGCUGGAGGUGCCGAGCCAGCGAGCCAGUGUGGGCAGUCGCAGUCACCAAGGGGAGACUCCGCGAUGUACCGAGUGUGAAGGAAAAAAAAACAUGUAAAACCCAUUCAUAAAACAAAAUGGAGGGGAAAUAAGGAGUGAGGAACGUGCUGGGAUGAUUUGUUGCAGGCAUCCUCAGUGUGGGUAAGACCGAUCGUUCCAUCCUUUUCGAUGGGAAAAAAAUUAGUGGAGAAUACUUUACUCAGGCAACGAAUAAAUCUUAGCACUAAAUCAAAAUGAUAAAAAUAAUUUCUUAAGGGAUUUUUUUUCCUUGGAAAAUAUUCAGAGAAUUAAACACGACAUUUUCGGUGAGAUUAAUAGGUAUUUGAUAACUGUUAGGAGUUAACAGGUGUAUUGUCGAGAAGUAUUAGGUCAGAUACUCACCUUAUUCAAGUUAUUUUUCAAGAAUUUCGUAUUGUACUGUCUUUCCAAGUUGCUGGCAAAACUCCCCAAAAAUUAAUGUUAAUUUUAAUUAUUUAAUAUGAAUUUUUCAAUUUUUUAUUGAAUUAAAAACGUAGGACUUUCAACGUGAUUAAUAAACGUCUGAUACUUGUCUAGACUCGGCAUGGCUGCCCUGAAAAAUACCAUUGCAAUCGAUAAUUAGAGGAUGGAUUAUCGUUGGAAAACUAGUCGAGUACAUGUUAAAAAUGAAUUUCGCUAUGGUCUCAGCAUCCUCUCUACCUCCACACAUUUACUGUUACUUGGCCUGACUCUCCUCUUUUUCAAUUGCCCUGUGAAUGCAAUAUGCACACAGAGACAAGAAUGCCGCUUCUUGCUCCACCUCAUAUACCUCCACUAUCAUUUGCAAUCCACCCAUAGAUCUAGCACUAAAACCCAAGACUUUUGUUUGUCUAUUCCCAACAUAUGUGGGUGUCUGGGCUUUCACCGCCUCCAUUAACACGUCUGUGUCUGUGCGUGUGUACACUCUAUGAAAUAUAAUGUUGUAGAUAUGUACGUAGAGUCACAUGGAUAAUUACACACAAGUUUGAGAGACUGUAAUAGUUUGGUUCAAGAAUUUAUAAAAAUUCGUGGUGGGAUUUUAGACAAUCGGUUGAAUAAGAGCAUGGAACCUUUUAUUAAGUUUAUUUGAUUUGCGUAUUAUGGAUUGGGACAUGUUAAAUGUAUUAAUCACUUUAUUACAUUAAUUUGCUGGGAGAAUGGUAACAUAUGAGAUUUGCUCUUGUCUUGUAGAACCUUUAGAAGAGAAAAAAAAAAAAAAAACUAUUACGUGGACAGUUUGGUCAUUUUUCCGGAAUAUCUCUCGCCGUGCAGUUUUAGACGAGCUGAAUCCCCUCUCCACAUAAGCAUCACAAUAAUAAGAGCAAAAAAUAGGAAGAAAAUGGGGUUGAAGGAACGGGGUAAGAAGUUGUCGGGCAAGCAUGGUGUAUAUGUAGCUUGCCAGCAUGCAAAUGGAUCCUUCAACUCGGUGGUUCCCCUCAGCGCAUCCGGUGGGACGAUGCAC